rnacentral:rRNA from 1 species
GGAGGGUGCAAGCGUUAUUCGGAAUCACUGGGCGUAAAGAGCGCGUAGGCGGUUUCUAAAGUCAGAUGUGAAAGCCCGGGGCUCAACCCCGGAAGUGCAUUUGAAACUUAGGGACUUGAGUAUGGGAGAGGGAAGUGGAAUUCCUGGUGUAGCGGUGAAAUGCGUAGAUAUCAGGAGGAACACCGGUGGCGAAGGCGACUUCCUGGACCAAUACUGACGCUGAGGCGCGAAGGCGUGGGGAGCAAACAGGAUUAGAUACCCUGGUAGUCCACGCAGUAAACGUUGAACACUAGGUGUAGCGGGUAUUGACCCCCUGCUGUGCCGCAGCUAACGCAUUAAGUGUUCCGCCUGGGGAUACGGCCGCAAGGCUA